rnacentral:rRNA from 1 species
GAUGAACGCUAGCUACAGGCUUAACACAUGCAAGUCGAGGGGCAGCAUAAAUCUAGCAAUAGAUUUGAUGGCGACCGGCGCACGGGUGAGUAACACGUAUCCAACCUACCUAUUACUCGGGUAUAGCCUUUCGAAAGAAAGAUUAAUCCCCGAUACGAUAUUGAGUUCGCAUGAAUUUAAUAUGAAAGAUUUAUUGGUAUUAGAUGGGGAUGCGUUCCAUUAGAUAGUUGGUGAGGUAACGGCUCACCAAGUCUUCGAUGGAUAGGGGUUCUGAGAGGAAGGUCCCCCACACUGGAACUGAGACACGGUCCAGACUCCUACGGGAGGCAGCAGUGAGGAAUAUUGGUCAAUGGGCGAGAGCCUGAACCAGCCAAGUAGCGUGAGGGAUGACUGCCCUAUGGGUUGUAAACCUCUUUUAUAAGGGAAUAAAACGCUCCACGUGUGGAGCUUUGCAUGUACCUUUUGAAUAAGGAUCGGCUAACUCCGUGCCAGCAGCCGCGGUAA